rnacentral:rRNA from 1 species
CACGGAGUUAGCCGAUGCUUUUUCUUCGGGUACUCUCACUUGUGGCCUCACGAGGCCUUUUUGCUCCCCGACAAAAGAGGUUUACAAUCCAUAGGACCGUCUUCCCUCACGCGACUUGGCUGGUUCAGGCUCUCGCCCAUUGACCAAUAUUCCUCACUGCUGCCUCCCGUAGGAGUCUGGUCCGUGUCUCAGUACCAGUGUGGGGGACCUUCCUCUCAGAACCCCUACGCAUCGUCGCCUCGGUGGGCCGUUACCCCGCCGACUAGCUAAUGCGCCGCAUGCCCAUCCGUAGCCGGAAUCGCUUCCUUUAAUCCCUCAGGGAUGCCCCCGAAAGAUAUUACGCGGUAUUAGACGGAAUUACUUCCGCUUAUCCCCUCGCUACGGGCAGGUCGCAUACGUGUUACUCACCCGUCGCGCCGGUCGCCGUCCGGCAAGUGCAGCACUCGCCUCCGCUCGCCCCUCGACUUGCAUGUGUUAAGCCUGUCGCUACGCGUUCAUCCUGAGCAGGAUACAAACUU